AUACGGAGGGUGCAAGCGUUGUUCGGAAUCACUGGGCGUAAAGAGCGCGCAGGCGGUUUGGUAAGUCAGAUGUGAAAGCCCACGGCUCAACCGUGGAAGUGCAUUUGAAACUGUCAGACUUGAGUACUAGAGGGGAAAGUGGAAUUCCCGGUGUAGAGGUGAAAUUCGUAGAUAUCGGGAGGAAUACCGGUGGCGAAAGCGACUUUCUGGCUAGAUACUGACGCUGAGGCGCGAAAGCGUGGGGAGCAAACAGGAUUAGAAACCCUAGUAGUCC
rnacentral:rRNA from 1 species